rnacentral:tRNA from 1 species
UGGGGUAUCGCCAAGGGGUAAGGCACAAGACUUUGACUCUUGCAUUACGAUGGUUCGAAUCCAUCUACCCCAGCCA